ACUAUGAGCCAGGAUAAACACAUUACUCUCUUCUUUAACAAAAAGAGCAUGGUUAACUCCAAAGACUUCUCUAGACCAGCCUGGAUGGUACCUAAACUUUAAUCAACCAAUGCUCAAGUAAAAGAGCAGUAUCCAGCCCCAGCACACCUAACUGUUUUGCAUAACAUAGUGCUCCUGACUGGAGAGCCCAGGCUGAGAUGGUGUUAAAUGCUUUUACCACGUGGGCUCCUGGCACCAAAUGAGCAAGAUCUCACCCCACAGGCCUUGGAAACCUGAGGCAGUAUUCUUCUGGGAUGUUUCCAACUAGGCUUCCCAUGAGGAUGUUAGAGCCAGCCUGGCUGGUGAAUUUUACUUCUCUCACCUCUCAGAGGUAAGAGGUCUGAGAGGCUCAGGCCCUUCCAGCUUUUGAGGAUUCCAGCAUAGUAGAAACAUAAAAAGGUCCAAAGGGAAUUACAAAAAUAAUCUAUUUUCAGUUCUUAUACUUAACAAGUCAAUUCUUAUUAAAAAAAUAAAUCAAUCAAACUUUUGUUUGAUAUAAUUAUAGAUUCCAAGGAAGUUGUAAAGAUAGUACAGGAGGUCCCUGUGCAUCUUUCACCCAGUUUCCUCCAGUUUUAUGCCACUAGAGUACAAUAUCCAAACCAGGACAUUGACAUUGGAGCCAUAUGCAUGUAUAUUUCCAUGUCAUUUUAUCUCAUGUGUAUGCUCAUGUACCCAUCACUUCAAUCAGGUUAGAGACUAGACCAUCCCUCAUGCUGCCCUCUGAACUACCAACCCUAACCCGUGGAGGUCAUUAAUCUGUUCUUUAUCACUACAAUUUGGUCAUUUUGAGAAUGAAUAAAAUCACACAGUAAUGCAAGCCUUUUGAGACUAGCAUUUUUUCACUCAGCAUAACAUACUUAAGAUCCAUCAAUAAUUCUUCCAUUUUAUUGCCGAGCGGUAUUCUACAGUAUAGAUAUACUAAAGUUUAACUCUUCAUCUAAGGUAGGACAUUUUGGUUGUUUCCAGUUUUGGCUAUUACAAAUAAAGCUUCUAUGAGUAUUCACCUACA
rnacentral:lncRNA from 10 species